rnacentral:rRNA from 1 species
UACGUAGGGUGCGAGCGUUGUCCGGAUUUAUUGGGCGUAAAGAGCUUGUAGGCGGCUCGUCGCGUCGGGUGUGAAAACUUGCGGCUUAACCGCAAGCCUGCACCCGAUACGGGCGGGCUAGAGUUCGGCAGGGGAGACUGGAAUUCCUGGUGUAGCGGUGGAAUGCGCAGAUAUCAGGAGGAACACCGGUGGCGAAGGCGGGUCUCUGGGCAGUAACUGACGCUGAGGAGCGAAAGCGUGGGGAGCGAACAGGAUAGAACC